rnacentral:lncRNA from 1 species
AUAUCAAAAAGAACCAAAAGAAACUAAAAAUUAUAAAGCAUUCGUGAUUGUUGUCACAUGUUAAUAUCCUGUCAUAGAAAUUUGCAAUAAAUACCCUUUUAGGUCAUACUUUAAAUCAUCAUUGCGAUUGUUCAUAAGAUUAGUUAUAUACACUGGGCGCAUGAGGGAGCCACUAUCAACAUUAGUCACAAUAUUGUCUUAUUAGACUUCUAUAUGUAUAUGUUCUGCGCCUUUCUCCUAGCUAUCUUUAUAGGUAUUUUACAAUCAUAGCCUAGGAUUGAAUAAUAUAAAUACGAAAGAAAUAAUUAAUGAUAGCUAGGACGUAUAAUAAUAAGUUCCAGCCACACACAUCCUACUCUAAACUUCAGCUUUUUUUGUCUCUUGAAAGAGGAUAUGUUGAACAGCCGAAAGGAAUUAGCUAGUAACUACCAAGGUUAUAGAAGUGAAGAAUUAUUCCUAAGUGCAAGAACCUAGUCACUGCAAUUAACUACAUAUCAUGGCCCAGUAGGUAAUUACUGAUAAUUACAGCUAAGGAUCUUUAAAAACUUUUAUUUGAAAAAAAUAUUACGUGGAUUUGAAGUUAUAAAAAUUGAUAAGUGAAAAUGGUUGGACGAGGCGAUGACUUAAGGAAGCGAUCACCUAGUAAGAAGGCUCAAGUAACCAAAGCUGUUAAUGGCAUAAACAGUUUGUGUAAGUCCCUAUUAGCACGGAAACCAUCUGAAGGUAAAUUAUUCCUAGAUGAAGCAAGGAUUCGUCUUCAAAAAGCCUAUGAAUCAUUGGAAUUGAUGGACAUAGAUCCAGAUCAAACAGAUGAAUACAAUUCCCAAUUGGAGGAAUAUAAUUAUUUGCUUGCAGAAAUACACCCCGGGUAGAUGGAUUUAGUCCGGCGCAAAUGAUAUUCAGCAGAAGACAACGUGGUUAUUUGCCAACACUACCUAAUGCUUAUGAAAAAAUCGAUUCAAAUGAUGUUUAUGAGAAACGAAAGAAAACAAUAACUACCGAGAAUUCAAACGGUGAUCCACCAUAGUUCUAGAUUGGGAACAAUGUAUUGGUACAAACCCCUAUUUCCAAAACAUGGGACACUGAAGCCGUGAUCAAAGACAUCCGAUAUCAUGGGAGAUCAUAUAUAUUGAUUAAGAACAAUCGUGAAUUGAUUCGAAAUAUGAAGUUCCUAAGGCUAAAUAAAUCAGGGAUAUUGUCUGAGAAUCUCAAAUCUGGAGAAGAAAACAUAGAACAUAGAAUGUUGAGGAGGAGUGACCGGAAUAGAAAGAAAACUGUUAGAUUUAAUAUUGAUUUCUAAAUUGUGUAUAUUCGUUUUUUUGAAAAAGAUUUAAUGUUAUUUAAAACCUUAUGUAUAUUCCCUUAAAAUCUUUGGAGGGCAUGAGGAGUUGCGUAUUUAUUUAUGUAUAUUAAGUUGCGUUACAUUUUAUGGAAAGUCAUUUCGUAUAUAUUAUUUUGUAUAUAAUAUAAUAAAUUAGUAACUCAA